UACAGAGGGGGCAAGCGUUAUUCGGAAUUAUUGGGCGUAAAGGGCGCGUAGGCGGCUUGGCAAGUGGAUGGUGAAAUCCCUCGGCUUAACCGAGGAACUGCCGUCCAAACUGCUUCGCUUGAGACCGGGAGAGGUGAGUGGAAUUCCCAGUGUAGCGGUGAAAUGCGUAGAUAUCUGGAGGAAUACCGGUGGCGAAGGCGGCAUCCUGGACCGACAUUGACGCUGAACGCGAAAGCUAGGGGAGCGAAACAAGGAGUUAGUAAUACCCCGGGG
rnacentral:rRNA from 1 species